rnacentral:tRNA from 2 species
CGGCUCGUAGCUCAGUGGUUAGAGCGCCGCCCUUAUAAGGCGGAUGUCGGCGGUUCAAGUCCGCCCGGGCCGACCA